rnacentral:rRNA from 1 species
AGCACUCCAACGGGUGGAGCUUGCGGUUUAAUUGGACUCAACGCCGGAAAACUCACCGGGGGCGACAGCAAGAUGUAGGUCAAGCUAAAGACUUUACCUGAAUCGCUGAGAGGAGGUGCAUGGCCGUCGUCAGUUCGUACUGUGAAGCAUCCUGCUAAGUCAGGCAACGAGCGAGACCCGUGCCCACUGUUGCCAGCAUGUCCUUCGGGAUGAUGGGUACUCUGUGGGGACCGCUGGUGCUAAACCAGAGGAAGGUGCGGGCUACGGUAGGUCAGUAUGCCCCGAAUCUCCCGGGCUACACGCGGGCUACAAUGGUUGGGACAAUGGGUCCCUACACCGAAAGGUGAUGGUAAUCUCUUAAACCCAACCGUAGUUCGAAUCGAGGACUGUAACUCGUCCUCGUGAAGCUGGAAUCCGUAGUAAUCGCGUUUCAACAUAGCGCGGUGAAUACGUCCCUGCUCCUUGCACACACCGCCCGU